rnacentral:rRNA from 1 species
GACGAACGCUGGCGGCGUGCUUAACACAUGCAAGUCGAACGGAAAGUCCCAGCCUGUGUACGUUGCUCUAGUGGCGAACGUGUCAGUAACACGUGCGUAACCUUCCCUCGACUGUGGGAUAACUUCAGGAAACUGGUGCCAAUACCGGAUGGGAGCUCCUGCUGCAUGAGGGGGCUGGGACAGUUUCGGCGGUUUGGGAUGGACUCGCGGCUUGUCAGCUUGUUGGUGGGGUAGUGGCUUACCCAGGCUUUGACGGGUAGCCGGGCCGAGAGGGUGACCGGCCCGACUGCGACGGGGAUACGACACAGCCCCCUACGCGAGGCGAGGGUGCGGAAUGGUGUAUAACGGAAUGAAGCCUGAUGUGACACCGCCGCGCGCCGGAAGAGGGCCAGUGGUUUGUAAACCGCUUUCGCAUGUGACGAGACGUGAGUGACGGUAACGGGUAAAGAAGCUCCGGCUAACUACGUG